UAAAUAAGGUCUCGUUGGUGACCAGCGGAGGGAUCAUUACCGAGUUUACAACUCCCAAACCCCCUGUGAACUUAUACCAUUACUGUUGCUUCGGCGGGUUAUUGCCCCGGGGAAGGACAGGCUGCCGCAAGGUGCCCUGCCGCCCCCCCGGAAACAGGCGCCCGCCGGGGGACUCAAACUCUAUAUUUUUUUCUUGUUUUAGUGUAUACUGUCUGAGUAAAAAAAAACAUAAUGAAUCAAAACUUUCAACAACGGAUCUCUUGGUUCUGGCAUCGAUGAAGAACGCAGCGAAAUGCGAUAAGUAAUGUGAAUUGCAGAAUUCAGUGAAUCAUCGAAUCUUUGAACGCACAUUGCGCCCGCCAGUAUUCUGGCGGGCAUGCCUGUUCGAGCGUCAUUUCAACCCUCAAGCCCCUGCUGUGGACUUGGUGUUGGGGACCGGCGAUGGACAACCGUCCUGUCGCCGCCCCCUAAAUGAAUUGGCGGCCUCGUCGCGGCCCUCCUCUGCGUAGUAGCACACACCUCGCAACAGGAGCCCGGCGAAUGGCCACUGCCGUAAAACCCCCAACUUUUUCUCAGAGUUGACCUCGAAUCAGGUAGGAAUACCCGCUGAACUUAAGCAUAUCAAUAAGCGGAGGAAAAGAAACCAACAGGGAUUGCCCCGUAAAAC
rnacentral:rRNA from 1 species